rnacentral:rRNA from 1 species
UGGAUUAGUGGCGAACGGGCGAGUAACACGUGAGUAACCUGUCCUUUUCUUUGGGAUAACGGCUGGAAACGGCUGCUAAUACUGGAUAUUCAGGCUGCAUCGCAUGGUGUGGUUUGGAAAGGUUUUUUCUGGGAUUGGGUGGGCUCGCGGCCUAUCAGCUUGUUGGUGGGGUGAUGGCUUACCAAGGCUUUGACGGGUAGCCGGCCUGAGAGGGUGGUCGGUCGCACUGGGACUGAGAUACGGCCCAGACUCCUACGGGAGGCAGCAGUGGGGAAUAUUGCACAAUGGACGAAAGUUUGAUGCAGCGACGCCGCGUGGAGGGUGUAGGCCUUCGGGUUGUGAACUCCUUUUUCUCGCGAAAAAGGCACAGUUUUGGCUGUGUUGAUGGUAGUGGGGGAAGAAGCGCCGGCUAACUACGUGCCAGCAGCCGCGGUAAUACGUAGGGCGCGAGCGUUGUCCGGAUUUAUUGGGCGUAAAGAGCUCGUAGGUGGUUCGUCGCGUCUGUCGUGAAAGCCAGCAGCUUAACUGUUGGUCUGCGGUGGGUACGGGCGGGCUUGAGUGCGGUAGGGGUGACUGGAAUUCCUGGUGUAGCGGUGGAAUGCGCAGAUAUCAGGAGGAACACCGAUGGCGAAGGCAGGUCACUGGGCCGUUACUGACACUGAGGAGCGAAAGCGUGGGGAGCGAACAGGAUUAGAUACCCUGGUAGUCCACGCUGUAAACGUUGGGAACUAGGUGUGGGGAUGCUAUCCUGUGUUUCUGCGCCGUAGCUAACGCAUUAAGUUCCCCGCCUGGGGAGUACGGUCGCAAGGCUAAAACUCAAAGGAAUUGACGGGGGCCCGCACAAGCGGCGGAGCAUGCGGAUUAAUUCGAU